AAUGAAACUAGGACCCCUGCUGGCUUGGAGGGCGAAGUGUGCAACGAUUAUUCUUUGUCUUCUAACCUUUUAUUUUACAAGAAUGAAUUCAAGGCUUAAAUGUGUAAGUUGAUCUCUGGUAUCGCUAUAACUUUGCGAUACAAUGAAACACUUGUUAAUAAAUUUGGUUUCCCGAGGAACCGAAAUGAAUUUUGUGGGCUUCCGUUCUGACGUCAGAACAUUGGACGAACCCACGUGGUUAACAAAAAACACCAUGGCGGCUGGAUUCAAAACUGCUGAGCCCUUGGAAUACCACCGGAGUUUUUUGAAAGAGAACUGCCGUCCUGAUGGAAGAGAGCUGGGUGAAUUCAGAACCACUACAUUGAAUAUAGGUUCUAUAUCCACAGCAGACGGCUCAGCCCUGGUAAAGAUUGGAAACACCACAGUCAUGUGUGGCAUCAAAGGGGAACUGGCAAACCCACCAGUGGAUGCACCCAAUAAAGGUUACAUUGUACCCAAUGUAGACCUGCCUCCUCUGUGUUCAUCACGGUUCCGUCCUGGACCACCUGGGGAACGGGCUCAGGCCGCCAGCCAGUUCAUCGCUGAUGUCAUAGAGAGCUCUGCCGUCAUCCAGAAAGAGGACUUAUGCAUUGUGAAAGGAAAGCUGUGCUGGGUCCUGUACUGUGACAUCAUGUGUCUGGACUUCGAUGGAAACUUGUUGGACGCCUGUCUCAUCGCCCUGCUGGCUGCUCUUAAGAACGCACGUCUCCCAGAGGUGACAGUCAACAAAGAGACAGAGGCUCCUGAGGUGAACCUGGAGAGCAGGAGAAGUCUGAACAUCCACAAACACCCCGUAGGAGCCUCUUUCAUCGUGUUUGACGACUCUAUAAUGAUUGUCGACCCCACCGCUGAGGAAGAGAGCCUGUCUACAGCCACAAUCACAGUGGUAACAGACGAGGAAGAGCGACUCUGCGCCCUCCACAAGCCAGUGACUGCAUGUACAUAUCCCAACCAGAGGCCAUAGAUUACAGGAAACAUCCUCACUGAGCUGAAGGCUAGAGGUGCCGCUUUCAAGGAGCGAGACACUAAUCCGGACGCUUAUAAGAAAUCCCGCCCUCGGACGAACCAUCACAGGUGGUACAUCAUUAUCAGGUGAGAAGCUUCAGAAUUGUAUCAGCCGAGCCACGACGAGACAUAAGGAGGUCCGCAAACUCAUCGACAAAGUCAUACAGAGCGCCAAGACACCGAAAUAAACACACACACGUUUUUUCUCUAAAAGUUGUAUUUUCCUGUCAAUAUAUAUAUUUUCUUUAUCACAAUAAACUGCUGAUAAAGACCA